AUGGUAGGAUAGAGGCCUACCAUGGUGGUAACGGGUAACGGGGUGUUAGGGCACGACACCGGAGAGGGAGCCUGAGAAACGGCUACCACAUCCAAGGAUGGCAGCAGGCGCGCAAAUUACCCAAUCCCGACACGGGGAGGUAGUGACAAUAAAUAACAAUACGGGGUUCUUUAGGAUCUCGUAAUUGGAAUGAGUACAAUUUAAAUCUCUUAACGAGGAACAAUUGGAGGGCAAGUCUGGUGCCAGCAGCCGCGGUAAUUCCAGCUCCAAUAGCGUAUAUUAAAGUUGUUGCAGUUAAAAAGCUCGUAGUUGGAUUUCGGGGUCAGUAGGUCGGUCGUGCCACUGGUAUGAACUGGUUUUACUGAUUCCUCCCUCUUGAAGAACUGUAAUGCCAUUAAUUUGGUGUUGCAGGGAAUCAGGACUGUUACUUUGAAAAAAUUAGAGUGUUUAAAGCAGGCUUUAGCUUGAAUACAUUAGCAUGGAAUAAUGAAAUAGGACGUUUGAUCCUAUUUUGUUGGUUUCUAGGAUUGACGUAAUGAUUAAUAGGGAUAGUUGGGGGCAUUAGUAUUCAAUUGUCAGAGGUGAAAUUCUUGGAUUUAUUGAAGACUAACUACUGCGAAAGCAUUUGCCAAGGAUGUUUUCAUUAAUCAAGAACGAAAGUUAGGGGAUCGAAGACGAUCAGAUACCGUCGUAGUCUUAACCAUAAACUAUGCCGACUAGGGAUCGGAUGAUGUUAAUUUUUUAAUGACUCAUUCGGCGCCUUACGGGAAACCAAAGUGUUUGGG
rnacentral:rRNA from 1 species